GAAAAGGAAGAGGGUGCUCCCGUACAAACGCAUCCUCUUCCUCGCUCGCCAAUGCCGGCCGCCCCGUCGCCGGGGACGACUAGGACUUCCUCCCCGGCAACCACAGCCUGCUGCAAGGGAACACACUGAGGAGGCCGCGGUGUCUCUAUUGUUCUUCCUCUGAAGCUGUUUGUCUGAACCUACAUCUGGCGACCACUUUCCACUCCGGACUCCUUUCUCGAUUGAGUUCCUCCUCCGGCCUCCGCCCAUUCGCCCGGAGGAGUCAACUCGUCGACGGCAUCAGCUGCCGUUGUGAGGGAGUGCUUGGAGCCGGUGAUGGUGUGGCGGUCGGCGAGCAUCCGAUUCCGAGGUGGUGCCGCUUGAGACUGGACUAGGCAGCUUCUGCGCGGCCGCAUAGAAGGUAUGUAUGACCGCUAUCAACAAUUUGCUGGAACAAGAAGGAACCUGAAGAAGGAGAUUCAAGUAGCAACAGUGUAAAAUAGCUUUACUCGGUGGCAUUACGCCCGUGGCAUUGUUCCGCCUUGCACAGCUUACAUUUUUUUAGGUCUCUUCAAAACAAUGUUGACGACUCAGAUGCUAAUAAGCCAGAGAAAUUCGAUAAACUCCUCACAGAUGCUUUAUGGAAUGGAAUACAAAAUCCAAGAAGAGGUUUCUUUUUAGUGCACGUGAGGUGUGAAGGAACUGGGAACAAUAAUUUAUCUUAUCAUGUCUAAUACGUAGAGAAGGUACGAUGGCAUUGGUAGAUCAUCAAACUUUGGUGAACCAGCAAAGCGAUCAUCGGCCCCUCCCACAUCGGUCGUACAAGCUAGCUUGCAGCCGAAUAAGGAAUUAGCAAACAAGAUUGCCAGCAAAGCUGAGGCGCUGAAGGGAUCUCCACGUCUUCCAGCAAAAUUAAGCAUGUAAUCGUUUCUUGGCCUCCAAUCAAUAUAUUUUCGGUAGGCUUUGCCUCCUGUUUCUGUUAAAAAAAAACUAAAGGAGUGGUGAACCAGAGUGAGUUCAUUUGGUACAGGCAAGUAUAGGUGUUGCCAUCUUUAUUUGGCAGUGUAAAUAUAGCAGUAAUGCAAUCAUAUGAAUUACUAGAUCCUGAUGGCGCGCGUUGCCGCACCCAUCCAUUUUGACAAUAUAAAGAGGCAGAACACAAAUAUCUAAGAA